rnacentral:rRNA from 1 species
CGGCAGGCUUAACACAUGCAAGUCGAGGGGUAUGGUUCUUCGGAACCAGAGACCGGCGCACGGGUGCGUAACGCGUAUGCAAUCUGCCUUUCACAGAGGGAUAGCCCAGAGAAAUUUGGAUUAAUACCUCAUAGUAUAGCGACAUCGCAUGAUGAUGCUAUUAAAGUCACAACGGUGAAAGAUGAGCAUGCGUCCCAUUAGCUAGUUGGUAAGGUAACGGCUUACCAAGGCAACGAUGGGUAGGGGUCCUGAGAGGGAGAUCCCCCACACUGGUACUGAGACACGGACCAGACUCCUACGGGAGGCAGCAGUGAGGAAUAUUGGUCAAUGGGCGCAAGCCUGAACCAGCCAUGCCGCGUGCAGGAUGACGGUCCUAUGGAUUGUAAACUGCUUUUGCACAGGAAGAAACACUGAUUCGUGAAUCAGCUUGACGGUACUGUGAGAAUAAGGAUCGGCUAACUCCGUGCCAGCAGCCGCGGUAAUACGGAGGAUCCAAGCGUUAUCCGGAAUCAUUGGGUUUAAAGGGUCCGUAGGCGGUCUGGUAAGUCAGUGGUGAAAGCCCAUCGCUCAACGGUGGAACGGCCAUUGAUACUGCUGGACUUGAAUUAUUAGGAAGUAACUAGAAUAUGUAGUGUAGCGGUGAAAUGCUUAGAGAUUACAUGGAAUACCAAUUGCGAAGGCAGGUUACUACUAAUGGAUUGACGCUGAUGGACGAAAGCGUGGGUAGCGAACAGGAUUAGAUACCCUGGUAGUCCACGCCGUAAACGAUGGAUACUAGCUGUUGGAAGCAAUUUCAGUGGCUAAGCGAAAGUGAUAAGUAUCCCACCUGGGGA